AUCCGCCUGGGGAGUAUGACCGCAAGGCUACAACUCCAAUGAAUUGACGGGGACCCGCACAAGCGGUGGAGCAUGUGGUUUAAUUCGAAGAUACGCGAAAAACCUUACCCACCUUUGACAUGUACGGAAUUUGCCAGAGAUGGCUUAGUGCUCGAAAGAGAGCCGUAACACAGGUGCUGCGUGGCUGUCGUCAGCUCGUGUCGUGAGAUGUUGGGUUAAGUCCCGCAACGAGCGCAACCCUUGUCAUUAGUCGCUACAUUUAGUUGGGCACUCUAAUGAGACUGCCGGUGACAAACUCGGAGGAACGGUGGGGAUGACGUCAAGUCCUCAUGGCCCUUAUAGGUGGGGCUACACACGUCAUACAAUGGCUGGUACAAAGGGUUGCCAACCCGCGAGGGGGAGCUAAUCCCAUAAAGCCAGUCGUAGUCCGGAUCGCAGUCUGCAACUCGACUGCGUGAAGUCGGAAUCGCUAGUAAUCGUGGUUCAGAAUGUCACGGUGAAUACGUUCCCGGGUCUUGUACUCACCGCCCGUCA
rnacentral:rRNA from 1 species